UACGUAGGGUGCAAGCGUUGUCCGGAAUUAUUGGGCGUAAAGAGCUCGUAGGCGGUUUGUCGCGUCUGCUGUGAAAAUCCAGGGCUUAACCCUGGACCUGCAGUGGGUACGGGCAGACUAGAGUGCGGUAGGGGAGACUGGAAUUCCUGGUGUAGCGGUGAAAUGCGCAGAUAUCAGGAGGAACACCGACGGCGAAGGCAGCACCCUGGGCCGGUACUGACGCUGAGGAGCGAAAGCAUGGGGAGCGAACAGG
rnacentral:rRNA from 1 species